rnacentral:rRNA from 1 species
AAUCAACGCUGGCGGCGUGCCUAACACAUGCAAGUCGAACGAGAAAGUGGAGCAAUCCAUGAGUAAAGUGGCGACCGGGUGAGUAACACGUGACUAACCUACCUUCAAGUGGGGGAUAACCUCGGGAAACCGGGGCUAAUACCGCAUAACAUCCUUAGAGUGGAAAUUCCGGGGAUCAAAGGAGCAAUUCGCUGGAAGAGGGGGUCGCGGCUGAUUAGUUAGUUGGCGGGGUAAUGGCCCACCAAGACAGAGAUCGGUAGCCGGCCUGAGAGGGCGCACGGCCACACUGGAACUGAAACACGGUCCAGACUCCUACGGGAGGCAGCAGUGGGGAAUUUUGCGCAAUGGGGGAAACCCUGACGCAGCAACGCCGCGUGGAGGAUGAAGUCCCUUGGGACGUAAACCUCCUUUCGACCGGGACGAUAAUGACGGUACCGGUGGAAGAA